CCUGGCAUGUUCCUGCCAGUACCCUAGGACAGCAUGCUACCUUCGCGCGUAUGAAGGGGUGUGAAGCCUGUCUAACAAAGUACCGAAACGGGAGGAAGCCGCGAGGCCGAUACCCAUCCCCGAGUCUCACGGGGUUAAGGGC
rfam:Candidatus Raymondbacteria bacterium RIFOXYD12_FTLL_49_13 rifoxyd3_full_scaffold_118, whole genome shotgun sequence.